CGGGGUGUAGCGCAGUCCGGCUAGCGCGCCUGCUUUGGGAGCAGGAGGUCCCGGGUUCAAAUCCCGGCACCCCGA
rnacentral:tRNA from 1 species